rnacentral:tRNA from 1 species
GCCGAUGUAGCUCAACGGUAGAGCAAUCCCUUCGUAAGGGAGAGGUUGGAGGUUCGAGUCCUCUCAUCGGCU